GAGUCAUGUUUGAACCCCGUUUGAGCGUGCGUGCUCCGAGUCACGUGAUCUUCGUUUUGCGAACAAUAGACAAGCGUCCGGGGGUACUCUGACCCAGUUCUCCCGCCUGAUACACACAAAAUGCCGCGAGUCUAAGAAGAGUUUUUCCCGAGGAUAAUGUUGGUGCACGUAGCCGGGCCAGUAGUUUCGCCUCAAGGUAUCUGGAAGACGAGGAACCACCCCAGCUGACCCAGUUCAGCAGCGGAGGGAUAUGGAUGUACAUGUAUAUCAGAAAAGACAACCGCCGAACUUAUCAGUUGGAGACGAAACGCGGCUCGAAGAGGUCAUGGCUUCGGUAGAAGUCAGAUCAAACCGCCGUGGUCUCCAGGGCUCCAUCGACUGCCUUGCUGAUGGCAGGACUUAACCAGUCAGUGUGAUGUGAGUGAGUGCGCCUGAUGAAAGCGCAGACAUAGGGGUGUAAUCAGUGCAGACUUGUUGGAAUAUAUCAAUCAGCCAAGGUGAUCAAGUUGAGAUGAGUGUGUGUUUGUUCUCCUAAGAGCGACCGCUAUUUUCAGUAUCAGUGUAUCCGUUAAGUAUUUGAAACGGGCGAUGUGAUCUCUGUAUUUUCUCUCGAUCCCAACAGACUAAUGAUACAUAUAGGACACGAGUGACAACGUCGAGGUGUUCCGCCACAACUUGCACAGGGACUCCUACCACGACAGGGAAAAUCAGUCGAGUCCUUCCACUGCAAGUCGGUGAGACGAGAUGCAUCACUGGAGGAGCCGGAAUAGACGUCCGCGUGCCUUAUAAAGUCGGGAAGGAGGGGAGCCACACAUCACCCAGAACAGCACCGUCGACAUGAGGAAGACAACGAGAGGAGAGUGCCAGACCAGUAGCAGAUCUAGAAUAGCCAAUCGAUUGCGCUGCUACAACCAUAGUGAACCUAAAACUAGUUAGAGAAUUCACGGACUGGUUUUGAGGUGAUUUAUACCAUUACUAUGCAUUUAGUGUACCGGGUAUACAUUGCAGUAGAAGUUGAGUGUGCAUGUAAAUCAAAGAACCGUACAUAAGGUUAACCUCAGCGACGACGGACCGAAUCAAACCGGAGAUGGAUGUAGUUAAGGAGAGAACGGCCAUAGAAAUGUUCAGUACAAUUAUUCUGUAUCCAACCUGUGACCGAAGUUAGCGGGGUCAGCAUUAUGUAGUAACGUCAAAACACUUUAACAGUGUCCCGUGCCAAGUGUACGGAAAACCUUG